rnacentral:rRNA from 1 species
UACGAAGGGGGCUAGCGUUGUUCGGAAUUACUGGGCGUAAAGCGCACGUAGGCGGAUACUUAAGUUAGGGGUGAAAUCCCAGAGCUCAACUCUGGAACUGCCUUUAAUACUGGGUAUCUCGAGUCCGGAAGAGGUGAGUGGAAUUCCGAGUGUAGAGGUGAAAUUCGUAGAUAUUCGGAGGAACACCAGUGGCGAAGGCGGCUCACUGGUCCGGUACUGACGCUGAGGUGCGAAAGCGUGGGGGAGCAAACAGG